rnacentral:misc_RNA from 1 species
GAUGAAGAACGCAGCGAAAUGCGAUAAGUAAUGCGAAUUGCAGAAUCCGUGAGUCAUCGAAUCUUUGAACGCACAUUGCGCCCGCUAGUAUUCUGGCGGGCAUGCCUGUUCGAGCGUCAUUUCAACCAUCAAGCCCUAGGCUUGCGUUGGAGCCCUGCGGCUGCCGCAGGCUCCCAAAUCCAGUGGCGGGCUCGUCGUCGUACCGAGUGCAGUAAACAUCCUCGCUCAGGGAACGUGACGGGUUCUUGCCGUGAAACCCCCCACAUAUCAAGGUUGACCUCGGAUCAGGUAGGAAUACCCGCUGAACUUAAGCAUAUCAAUAAGCGGAGGA